UUGGUUUUGUUCUUUUUCUGCCGACUCUUGGCAAGGCAGAGCAGCCCUGUACAGACGGGAAACCCCACUGUACUCUUGCUCCUGUCAGCCCUUAAAUCCCAUAAUCUGACUCAGUGUCUCACCAUCAACUGGGAUCGCACCACUAGUCUCCGUCCUUUAACCCAUGGAGUGUAAAUAGUGUAUCAUACGUAGAAGAAAAUACUUUUUGUUUUCUAAAAAGGCAUUUUGACAUAGUUUAACGAAAACCCGGCAGGAGCAUUCUAAGCCCCAUUAGGGAAAACGAUUGAAACGGUUCCUCUUCGUCGCCUUAAUGUGUAGAGAUCAGAAGUCACUGCGCAGGCCCUGUCUCCUUGGGAGAAGGGAUGCGAAGUGACAGGUGGAGCCUGGCCUCUGUCCCGCUGUGUGUGCCUCUGUAGCUCCCCCUGAGAAGUCUGGGAAACAGCCUCACCAUGCUCCUCCUCCUUCCCCGUGCCCCUGCAGCUCGAUCCUUUGCAUCCUCUGGGUCUGCGGAGCGCGGGUGCUGGUAGGGGAGCCUGUACUUCCACAGGCUCGGGGCUGCCAAGAAAAGGCAAAGGGGUGGGCAGUACAGGAUCCCUCCCUCCUACCUCAGGCCUGAUCCAUCAUGGACUUGGUAUCCUAACGCUUCUUAGCGGACUCUGGCUUUCACACAUGUUCUUCACAGAGCUCACGGCUGUGGGCAGAGGCAGAACGCCUCUCCCUGGCCAUUGAAAGACAAGAGAGUCACAUCCUAGCUUUUGCACAAGGCUCUUGUGGUUAGGAAUAGGUUAGGGAAAGGUCACUCCUGAUUUCCCAGCAGCCAGUCUGUCUGUGGAGAUUUCUUGACUCCUUGGGGACUCUGAGAACUGUUCCCAAUAUCAGAAGUUCCCUCUUGAGUUCUCCUUCUUUCAGCUCUCGGCAUGGCCACAGUGUGCGUCUUGGUGGGCAGUGCCAUGCUGGAGAGCAGAUCUCCGUGCUGUGGGGCCCAGGGGGACCUACUUAGGAGGGGAUAUGGGAGACUUUAUUACUGGUCAUAGUGACAUUGCCCUCACCACAAUCCCUCUCCAAAGUGGUCGUCUUUCUUUACCUUGUGUCUUCUCUUGUAAAAAUAAAACUCAAAAAUAAAAGUGUCAAAUUAAAAAGAAAAAAAAAUGGAAAAAGCUAACACGAACUGUGUGAAGUUGCAUAACGCUGUGACGCUAACCUGCAAUGUGUAAUGCUAUCUUGUAUGUGGACCUUGUCAAUGCGCCACACACGUGCAGAAUAAAGACUGACUCAGACUAAA
rnacentral:lncRNA from 1 species